rnacentral:rRNA from 1 species
GACAUAGGUGGCAAACGUUAUCUGGAAUUACUGGGCGUAAAGAGUGCGUAGGUGGUUCAAUAAGUUACUGGUGGGAAAUCGGGGCUCAACCUCGUGGAAGUCAGUAAUACUAUUAAACUAGAGGGUCGGAGAGGUUAACGGAAUUCUAUGUGUAGCGGUAAAAUGCUUAAAUAUAUAGAGGAACACCAAACGGCGAAGGCAGUUAACUAUUCGAUUCCUGACGUUGAGGCACGAAAGCGUGGGGAGCAAGACGG